CGUUCAGACACCGGUUCCUGUACGAUCACCAAAGUUAAGCAACGUGGAGAAUGGUCAGUAUCUAAAUGGGUGACCGCUUGGGAAUACCAGGUGCU